AGCCGCCGCUGCGGGAGAGAGCGAGGGUGGGUGGGAAGAGGUUUAUGACCUGGCAGGUGCAGUGAGGGCGAGAGUGGGAGGUUGCGCGCGGGGGAGGCGAGCGCGCGUGCGCGACGGGGAUUGGCUAGGCUGGAGCUUCCUCCGGCCCCAAGGGGCAGAAGGGGCGGUAAGGCCCCUGCGGGGCUCAGGCGUCUUCCCGCCUCCUCCUUCGCGGUAGCGCGCGUCCUGGCUGUAUCUGUGGAGACCCACUCCUGCUUCCACACUGUCUUCCGAAGUAGGUCGUACCCGUGAAUUAAAACCACUCGAGGAAGGACGAGCUGAUUUUUCUCCUAGACGCUCAUUGGAAAGGGACAUUUUAAUUUGCAGACGUGUGUCCUAAAGAAAAGACCUUAAUGCUGUUUAAAUGAAAUAAGCUCUCACGGAAUCACAAAUCAUAGAUGAUUUUAUUUUAAAUGAGGCAAAAGGGGAAAUCAUUUCAGCUAUCAAGAUGAAAAAUGAUAUCUUAGUUUUCGGAAAACAUGGAAGAUACCAAUGUACCCAUUUUCGUCUGGCGGUAGAAAAUCUUUUUUCUGAGGACGUUGGGAAGAGGGAGAGGCAUAAAAUUGGAAGCUCUCCAAGAUGAGAAAGCUGAUACAUAGAGAGGCACCCAAGCUCCUUCUGCUAAUAAGUUGCAUAUCUCAGAAAAUUUCUUUCCAGAUGUGAAGAAGAGAAUCCUCCUAAGAGAGAUUAGAGCUGAUUUUAAAAGACAAACAUCACAAAAUAAAAUAUCACAUGUGCAAUCCUUCUUCUUCAGCCAUUGUGGUUUCUAUAUUUUCCAUAGUUACUGAAACAGCUCUUCAGGCAGUCAACAUUCUUUUGUUCAACACUGUGAAACAAGCAAAUCCAUCAUGUCUAGGUCACUGCCCCAGGCUUUGUGUGUGUGAUCUUUCAUGACAGCAACAUUUUUGAAAAGUCUAGUCUAGUAGACUUGGAUUAGUUUCUUCAUGAAAUCAAGGAAGAAAGGAAUAAAGGACCAAAGGAAUGAAUGAAAAAGUAAAAAGGAAAAAGGAAAGAGGAAAAACAGAAGGAAUGGUAAAAGCAACUGUCUAGUGAAACACAAAAGUUGUGAGUGCUUCAAGACUGGGGUUCUUCUUUUGUGUUUGCAUUUCUGGAACUUGGAGUAUCACUCAGCACAUAGUAUAUAUUCAAUAAAGAUUUCCAUUGGCCAGUUUGAUUUACAUAUUUGGUUCCUUGUUUUUCAGAUAAUUAAAUAAGGAUACAAUCUGAUGCGGCAUGUCUGGCAUUCCGUGACUUGUUAUGCUGGUGCUGGUGGUUU